rnacentral:rRNA from 1 species
AGUUUGAUCCUGGCUCAGGAUGAACGCUAGCUACAGGCUUAACACAUGCAAGUCGAGGGGCAGCAUUUUAGUUUGCUUGCAAACUAAAGAUGGCGACCGGCGCACGGGUGAGUAACACGUAUCCAACCUGCCGAUAACUCGGGGAUAGCCUUUCGAAAGAAAGAUUAAUAUCCGAUAGUAUAUUAAAACCGCAUGGUUUUACUAUUAAAGAAUUUCGGUUAUCGAUGGGGAUGCGUUCCAUUAGUUUGUUGGCGGGGUAACGGCCCACCAAGACUACGAUGGAUAGGGGUUCUGAGAGGAAGGUCCCCCACAUUGGAACUGAGACACGGUCCAAACUCCUACGGGAGGCAGCAGUGAGGAAUAUUGGUCAAUGGACGAGAGUCUGAACCAGCCAAGUAGCGUGAAGGAUGACUGCCCUAUGGGUUGUAAACUUCUUUUAUAUGGGAAUAAAGUAUUCCACGUGUGGAAUUUUGUAUGUACCAUAUGAAUAAGGAUCGGCUAACUCCGUGCCAGCAGCCGCGGUAAUACGGAGGAUCCGAGCGUUAUCCGGAUUUAUUGGGUUUAAAGGGAGCGUAGGUGGAUUGUUAAGUCAGUUGUGAAAGUUUGCGGCUCAACCGUAAAAUUGCAGUUGAAACUGGCAGUCUUGAGUACAGUAGAGGUGGGCGGAAUUCGUGGUGUAGCGGUGAAAUGCUUAGAUAUCACGAAGAACUCCGAUUGCGAAGGCAGCUCACUAGACUGCAACUGACACUGAUGCUCGAAAGUGUGGGUAUCAAACAGGAUUAGAUACCCUGGUAGUCCACACAGUAAACGAUGAAUACUCGCUGUUUGCGAUAUACAGUAA